rnacentral:rRNA from 1 species
AGUGAACGCUGGCGGUAGGCCUAACACGUGCAAGUCGAACGGCAGCACAGUAAGAGCUUGCUCUUACGGGUGGCGAGUGGCGGACGGGUGAGGAAUACAUCUGAAUCUACUUUUUCGUGGGGGAUAACGUAGGGAAACUUACGCUAAUACCGCAUACGACCUACGGGUGAAAGCAGGGGAUCUUCGGACCUUGCGCGAUUGAAUGAGCCGAUGUCGGACUAGCUAGUUGGCGGGGUAAAGGCCCACCAAGGCGACGAUCCGUAGCUGGUCUGAGAGGAUGAUCAGCCACACUGGAACUGAGACACGGUCCAGACUCCUACGGGAGGCAGCAGUGGGGAAUAUUGGACAAUGGGCGCAAGCCUGAUCCAGCCAUACCGCGUGGGUGAAGAAGGCCUUCGGGUUGUAAAGCCCUUUUGUUGGGAAAGAAAAGCAGCAGGUUAAUACCCCGCUGUUCUGACGGUACCCAAAGAAUAAGCACCGGCUAACUUCGUG